UCUAAUACCGGAUAGGACCACGGGAUUCAUGUCCUGUGGCUGGAAAGCUUUUGCGGUGUGGGAUGGGCCCUCGGCCUAUCAUCUUGUUGGUGGGGUAACGGCCUACCAAGGCGACGACGGGUAGCCGGCCUGAGAGGGUGUCCGGCCACACUGGGACUGAGAUACGGCCCAGACUCCUACGGGAGGCAGCAGUGGGGAAUAUUGCACAAUGGGCGCAAGCCUGAUGCAGCGACGCCGCGUGGGGGAUGACGGCCUUCGGGUUGUAAACCUCUUUCACCAUCGACGAAGGUUCGGGUUUUCUCGGAUUGACGGUAGGUGGAGAAGAAGCACCGGCCAACUACGUGCCAGCAGCCGCGGUAAUACGUAGGGUGCGAGCGUUGUCCGGAAUUACUGGGCGUAAAGAGCUCGUAGGUGGUUUGUCGCGUUGUUCGUGAAAUCUCACGGCUUAACUGUGAGCGUGCGGGCGAUACGGGCAGACUAGAGUACUGCAGGGGAGACUGGAAUUCCUGGUGUAGCGGUGGAAUGCGCAGAUAUCAGGAGGAACACCGGUGGCGAAGGCGGGUCUCUGGGCAGUAACUGACGCUGAGGAGCGAAAGCGUGGGGAGCGAACAGGAUUAGAUACCCUGGUAGUCCACGCCGUAAACGGUGGGUACUAGGUGUGGGUUUCCUUCCUUGGGAUCCGUGCCGUAGCUAACGCAUUAAGUACCCCGCCUGGGGAGUACGGCCGCAAGGCUAAAACUCAAAGGAAUUGACGGGGGCCCGCACAAGCGGCGGAGCAUGUGGAUUAAUUCGAUGCAACGCGAAGAACCU
rnacentral:rRNA from 1 species